rnacentral:lncRNA from 1 species
UUGGGAAAGUCCCAAAGCCACUGGCAGGUUCAUGAACUGGAAUCUGUGGCUAACUGCUGCCAGCACCACACACAAACCUCUUGUCCUUAAACAGGGUGGCUCUUUUCCCUCUCAAUGCACUCACUUCUGAACAGAGUGCCUCUCAUCUGCCCUUGCCCAAAUUCAACGUCAUUUCCUCUGCAAAGCCUUCUGCCUCUCCCCUACUUGUGAAGUAUUUUAAAUCCUGGCAGCAUAUCUUCCUAAAGGUUCCUUCUCUCUGUCCCAUUCAGGCAAAUAGCUCAUCACAGCUCUUUCCUCCAUUCAUAACUGAGUGUCCACUGCAAUGGGAUUCACCCUAAUUUAAAACACAUUUGUGAAGAUAUGGUGUCACCGAGGGAAGUUACACCUGCAUAGGUCUACAGAGAGGUGAGUUACCUUGAGCACCUCACCAGCUGGUUGCUAGGAGGAGCCUCCUGAUUUAUGGAUAAUGAGCUUACCCCUCCCUGGACCCAGGGAUCUGGGAGGUAGGAAGUUGGGCCUCCAGAGCAGAGGAUCCAGGACCAAGACCAGAAAGUGCUGGGAGCACCAAGCAGCAGAGCAGGUGAAGAGCCAAGUCUGAGCUCCACAAGACAGAAAGCCUGGCAGAUCUUAGCCUGGCUUCGGUUUUCUGAGUUUAUUUCCUUGUUGCCCUUAAGGAGAACUGACUGACCCCUGAAUAGGCAGGACUUAGGCUCAUUCUUUCCACAUGCUUACAGAAAUACUUGAGCCAUGAAAAGGUCAAUAGACUCCAAAACACAAAAAGAAAAAGUGAAACUAAAAUGUUUAAAUGAGUCUCUACAAAACAAAAUAUUAAUCAACUUCCAUGUUUUUAAAUUUGUAUUCUAUUGGAAAACAAUCUGUAAGUUGAUUUUUUUUUUCUCACCGCUCAAGACUUCCUAAAUAUCGAUCAUAAUUGCUAUGAAAUCACAGUCAAUCAUAGAUUCAGUGAGCUCCUUAUAGAUAGACAUUUUUUAAAAAAAUAAACAUUUUUAAAAAUCUUAAUGGAAAAAUAUAUUAUAUUGACUAUAAUAUAUAAUAAUAUAUUGAGUGUGAAACGUGGGUGUGUCACGAGCCAUCUGUGGACUGUGUGUGGACUGUUGUGCAUAGUAGCCUCCUGAGGGGAUAAGUCUGGCAUUGGGAACUCCCCGUGGCACCCCCCACAGGGACUGACUGCCUGAUGCAGGUGAACUUCUUUCCCCCUCAGCUCUGCCAGAGAUCCCAUACAGCACCUGAGAUGGGUGUGACCUGCCAAGAUAUCAAUCAACCUGCUGACCAUAAGACUCUGCCCUUGAAACCUUAUCCCUGCCUUUGAUGUACCCUCUUAAAUAAACCACCAGAGCCAUUUUAUCUUUUGUCUAAUUAGAGAACCUAUGUGGACUAGAUCUAUCAGGGGCUUCACUUUCUGUAAAUAUAUUUUUGAGUAUUUGUGCUUCGUUAUUUACUAAUCAUCUGAAAUUGUAAGUCUUAGGGUGACUUGGAUUAUUUUGGGCAGGAAGAAAGACCCCCUUAAUGAGAUGCUGGCCACUGUCAUCCCCCCAUCCCCCAUAUGGGUGUAUUUUUUUUUUUUUACCAUAUGGGUGUAUUUUAACACACUCAGUACUGAGACGUAAUAGCAAGGUCGUAAGAACAUGAACUCUGGGACAAGGCAGCCUGACUUGAAGUUCUGGCUUUGCCACUUACUAGCUAUCUGACUUAGAGCAGAUGAUUUAACCACUCUGGGCAAUGAUUCCCUCACCUAUAAAAAAGAUGAUGAUGAUUAUGAUGAUGAUGAUAGUUCCUAGGAGUUAUAAUAGUCCUAAUAGUUUCUGAAACACAAAGAUGACGAUAAUUUCUAUGGUCUGAAAAUUGUGACUCCCCGAAAUUCAUGUUAAAAAUCUAAUCUCCAAUGCAAAAGUAAUAAAAUAUGGCAACCUUUAGGAAGUUAUUAGGUGGAAUCUCCAAAAGUGGAGUUGUGCCCUUAUAAGAGGUUCAGGGAAGGGCUGAGGUUGUGACUCAGCGGUAGAGCGCUCGCCUCACACGUGUGAGACCCUGGAUUCGAUCCUCAGCACCACAGAAGAAUAAAUAAGUGAAAUAAAGGUAUUGUGUCCAACUACAACAAAAAAAUAAAAAAGGUUCAGGGAAGCUCAUUCAUCCCUCCUGCCAUGUGAAGACACAGAAAGAAGGAACUAUCCAUCACUCAGAGAGCACGCCCUACCAGACACUGAAUCUGUUUGCUUCCUAGCCUACAGAAUUGUGAGCUAUAAGUUUCUAUUGUUUAUAAACUGUUCAGCCUAAGGUAUAUUGCUCUAGCUGCUUGAAUGGACUGAGACAGUGACCAUAGCUUGUUACUAUGAAAAGAAUAUCUUAAGGUUGUAUGAAGAUUACAUGAGUUAAUGUUUAUAAAUUUUUUGGAAUAAUUUCUGGCAAGAAGUAAGCACUAUUUAAGAUUUAUUAGUUUGUUUAUAUAAAUAAACAAAUAUAAGAGAGUUUUGGAACCCUGAGUGUUUUGUUUAAGUCUUUAAGAAGGUUACAUCCAAGUUCACCUGGCCGGUGAAACUAUGCAGAGUAAUCUAUGCAGAAUUUGGCACAGCUAUGGGAGGAAUCAGGUAAACUUGUAUUUUCAGCUUAGAGGCAGAACACAAAAGGCCCCAAGGGAAAGGAAAAUUCAGGCACUAUGGAAAGCUACCGAGUUUUUGUUUGUGUCUCCUGCCCAGGUUAGCCUAUGAAGUCUCCAGGUUUGGUUUUAUUAAGAAAGCUGUCACUCGAACUACUCCCAAAUCUAAUUGUCCAUUUGAACACUGCUGGACUCCAGCAGUCUCUGGCUGUGCUGACAACCCCCGCCCUACAUGACACAUACACCUUAACUGUUUCUCUCCAACCUUUGACUGUCUUACUCUCCUCUGUGUUUUUUUUGUCUCUGAUGAUGAAUCCAACUUACCAGGAUCCCAUCCAGUUGCAGGUGGUGGUGAGAGGACUGGCUGUGUCCAGAAGGCUCUGUGGUAUGCUGGUCCUAUCAGCCCCAGAAUGAAGGGAAGACUAAUAUGGAUUAGAUGUGGUUGUCUCUAAAGGCCAGUGACUUGGUCCCCAGUAUGGUGGUGUUAAGGGGAUGGGACAUUUAAGAAGUGGAGCCUACUGGAGGCAUGUCCACAGAAGGGACUAUAAGAACCAAACCUCUCAGGCUUUCUAUGUGGCAAUGUGAUCUUUCCCUUGAUGUGAUCUCUCUCAUACACACAUGUGCUCCUGCCAUCCACUGAGGUCCUUAGCAGAGCCAAGACUUGAAUCUCUAAAACUGAGCUAAAUAAAUCUCUUUAUUUAUAAAGUUAGCCUUCCUCAGAUUUUUUUUAUAGUAACAACAAAAAAAUGAAUUAAUACAAAGAGACCACACUGGCUUUGAGUCACAAGCCUUUCAGGAGAACAUAAUCGAUGUGCUUAAUGGCAGCAUAAACCACAUCAUUCGCUAAGAUAUUUAUGGCUGCAAGUAACAAAAGAAUAUAACUUAGCUUGACUUAAACAAUAAUAAAAAAAUAUCAUCUCAUAUCUUAAUCUGUCUAGGCUACUAUAAGACAGUACUAUAAGCUGAGUAGCUUAUAAACAAUAGAAAUAUAUUUCUCACAGUUCUGAAGGCUGAUAAAAUCCAAGAUCAAAAGACCAAAAGAUUAGGUGUUUGGCAAGGGCUCAUUUCCAAGUUCAAAGAUGUCUUCUUGUAACCAGAACCCAGUGCUUGGCCCCAAUGCCAAUUAAUGCCCGUUUAAUAAUGAGGACAUGGUUUUGAGAAAAAGGAAAAAGAGAUUUUAUUGCUUUGCUAGCAAAGGAGAAACACAGGAGACUUCUGUCCCAGAGGCUGUAAAUUCUGCCCAUUAGGAGGAACAGGGGGGUUUUAAAGGAACUCUUCAUUCCAGUGUGCUCUGGUAAGGGGAUCCCAGGGUCCAGUGUCCCUGUCUGCCUCUCUCACCCCUGCUCCACAUUCCACGUUGGUGGUGGAAAUGGAGUUCCUCUGUAUGGAGUAAGCUAGCAGCAAAAAUAAAGCUAAGAAAAAGAAGGCCAUGAAAAGACCACACGACAUGGAAGUAAUUUUGAAAAUCGGGAGCCUGCAUUUGCUUUAUUCUAUGUGGGGAAACUUCAAAGGGUAUCCAUAGAAUGUUCCUCACCAAGUAAGGCAGGAGGCGGUCUGUCCAAGCCCAACCCAUACGCCCAACUCCAGAACUACAGAGUAGUUUUCCUGGCCAAGCAGAGACUUGGGUCAUGUGCAUUGCAUAAUCCAUUAAGUAGGAGGGGCUGCCAAAUAGCGCAAGGCCAGACCAAAAUUUCCUUGGCUCAAGACUUCUCAAAGAGCUCAGGGGUGGCUCUCCACACCAGAGCAGCCUGAUGGUGUGUUAGGAUUCACUUGUUAAUUUGGAAGAUAUUCACUUCCUAGAUCCUCUGGCAGCAUCUCCUUCCCGUGGAGCACAGAUAACUCAAGGGAAUCUCAUUCCCCACCCCCAGGUUAGGGAGGGAGAGAGGGAGAAGAGGAAAAGGAGUACCCUUCCCUUUCAAAAAUAAGCCUCAAGCUAUUUUCAAAAGGUGAAGUGGACCACUGCUGUGUUCUCACUGUGAUAUCUUUUCUAACAACAUUAAUCCACCCACAAAAUCUAAUCCUAAAGACCCCACCUCAAAAUAUGUGGAGCUUUGGAAUUUUACACAUGAAUUGUUUUUCUGAUGGAGUUGGGGGAUGGGACACAAGCAUUCAGUCUAUAGCAUCUCAGACCUCAAUACAACUAGAGGUGGGAAUAGUCCAAAAUUAGCUUAUCACUGGCUCAGUAACAACAUCAAGGAAUCAGAUUCUUCCCAGAUUUUCCAUGUAUUACUCCAUUGUUUUAACUUUUUCCUCUUAAAGUUGUGAUAUGUCUGCUGCAGUUUAAGAUAUUGGUGUAGGCUAACAAUGGGUGGGUGUAAAUGAGUACAUCUCUUCCUCUGCAUCCUCCUUAGCAAUAAGGGUAUCUUCCCCCACAGGUCCCAGAAAAUGGCACCUCACCUGAGGCCAGAAUUUUAUCAUAUAUGUAAGAUUAAACCAGCCAAACUGACAAGGGGUGUGGAACCACCAUGAUUGUCCUGCCUCUGGGACUAGGCUGGAGCCAGCCUCACCUGAAGUACACAAAGAUAUGGAAUAGAGGAGAUUCCAAAAUAUUUGGAAUUUCUUGUUAUUUGGCCCUAAGUAUUGGGCCAAAUAACAAGAAGGAAAAAAAAAUCGCAGUCCAUGUUGCAUAGAAAAAUCAAGAGUAAUUGCUAAACUGUCUAUGAACUCACAGCUGGUUCUUGAAGAGACUUAGGGAGGUUGGAAAACCAAAGAUUACGAUGGAAGGGUUCAUUCCUGGGAAACUGGUGUUUUUGUUUAUUACUAUUGAUGCAAUUCGUUCUCUCUGAUUUUUACCACCAAUUCCUCCCUCCACCACAUGUAACACAAAAGAGUAGGAAAAAAUACCUACGCUGUGUAUGAAGAACCUGGCAUAAUUUUUGGCAUGAAAUGGGCAUCAAUGAAGCAGCAAUAAAUAAAUGUGUCUCUCUUUCCCCAGCCUAGAUAACUACAGCCACAUCCUAACUGGUCUCCCUGACUGCAGAGAAGGGCAUUUUUCCAAUAUUCAAUUUGGAUCUGAACAAAUGUUCCUGCCCUCAGCACAAAGUCUUGUGUCCUUAAUCGGGAACACAAGAUCUUUUAUCCAAUGAAUCCAGCCUGGAAAAUGCAUCUUCAGAAUUCUUAUUCAUGCAUCCUCAGUUCCAGCCCUGCUAGAGGGAUAAAUGAUUGAAGGAGGAGUAGGCAGGACUCAGUUAAAAAUUAGAUGUAACAUCACACCAAUAAAUUUAGAGGAGACAUUGAAUGAAUUUCAGCAACCAUCUUCUAAUUAAAAAAAAAAACCUAAGUAAAAUAGGCCUAUAAGAAAACUUCUUAAAUUUAAUAAAGGUCAUUUCUCCAAAACAGCAAAUAGUCUAACAACAAGAAAAUCACUAACUCUAUUUCAUUAAAAAGAGUAAGCAGGGUACCUAUUAUUACCAUUAUUAUUCAACAGUGUCCAGAAGUUGUAGCAAAAAAAAAAAAAAGUACAAAAAAGAAAGCACAUAAUUAUAAGACUGAAUACCUAGAAAAUACAAAGAUUCUAGUAUGAAAGUAUCAGAAUUUAAAAGAAAAUUUGGCAGGGUGGCUGAAUACAAGAUAUAUAAAUGUAAAACAGUAGCUUUCACUUCCUUUGCUAUAUCCAUAGGGCAGCUAAUGUUCCUAAAACCUUCCCACUAGAAAAUGCUGAAAAGUGGGUAAAAAAGAAAAACAUUCAUUUCAAAUUAGUAACUUAGCUAAAAAGAAAGGGCAAUUCUUAAAGCUGAAGCAUAAAUCCAGGCAGGUAAACUGAUAGAGGCUGAAGAGUUAGAUAUAGUACUAUGGAGUUUCAGAGUGAAUCCCUGCGUAGUGGCAAGAAGCAAAUUCAGGUCCACGUGAGGUGGGGAGUCAGAUCAUGAGAAUAGGCUCAAGAAGAAUCAUAAAAAAGACAAGAAGGAAGCUGGUUUGUCUUGGCCCCAGCUCUAAAGAAGAAAACAACACCCCUAUAAAAAUUAAUAACCAGAAACCACCUGUCCCCAAGCAGGAACAGGGUACAACUACAUACCACAUGUGAGGUCCAAGAAACCUCCAACCAAGUAUUUUCUUAAAGCAGUACCAGAUUGGAAAACCCCAGGCACCUGGCGGAGAAAUAUACCAAAUUUUAGGAGACAAAGUUCCAAAAACCAAGAACUCAUUCCUUUUUUCUUUUAAAUCAUAAAACACCAAGAAAACUAGGCAUCAUGAAUGAGUCAGCAGAGAUUGCGAACAGCAGAAUAAGACCCAUGUAGCAUUUAGAUACAGGAAUUACUAAAAUAUAUAUAUAAGAUAAAUAUAUCUGUUUAAAUAAAUAGAAGAGAAUUUGAAACAUGAACAAGAGAAAGAGACCAGAGAGAUUCCCAGUGAGGAGUGUCCACAGCUGUUGCCACCAUUUCAGGCCCAGGACAUGUGAGAACAGAACUGACCAGCUGUGUGGGAAAUCGGUGGAGUAGCAAUGAUGUCUCAGCACACUGGUGCAAAGGUACACAUGGCGAGUCACUCCCACUCAGAAGAGUGGAGUCUCCUCCGGUUCCAAACAGAAGAUCAGGAGUUUGGGUUCAUUACUUGCUUUACUAAAAUUCUACAAAAUGCACAAUUCGGAUACUACAAUGUUGAUAGAACCAGCUUCAGAGGUUUAGGGAAGGAGGUGGAGUGAUUCUCAGGCAAGAAGGGUCAGAAAAUGUACAACCUGAUCCCACUUAGCCUUUAAUGAGAGUGGUGGGGGAGAUCUUGUCUUUAAGAAAGGAGACAAACUGUGAUUUCAGGAAAAGUCUGAAGAACAGCGAUGGAAUAAAAAAGAGAAGGCAAGAUGGGGAGCAGUCUAGCUCUUUAUAGGGAAACAUAAAGGCCUGCCACUAUUUUAGUAUUGGCUCUUAUUUGAGGUCAUGAACUAGUAAAGUUCUCAGGGGUCUUGGGAUUAGUGUGAGUGGUCAAAGGGAAGGAGUAUGAACACCAAACAAGGUCACUUCCUAUUCAUUCAUGCUUCUCUGUUAGAUCAGCAGGACCACAUAAGGACAUUGGCUCAAUAAACAGUUUUGCUGAUGUAUGGGAAUGAGAUUUUUUAGUUUUUUGCAACUGACAUAUAUACAAUUUUUCUACAGAUAUCACAGACAGUUUAGUUCAGAUAAGCACUGUGAACUUCUAGAAUAGAACUGCUCCAUUCCUAGUCUCAGUUCACCAAGAUUGAGCUAUGAAACUGGAGAGUCUAUGUGUUCAUUUUUGGAUUAGUUAAUUUUAGUGGUAGUAGUGACUCUGUCUUAUGUAUAGAAGGGACAGUGUAUUAGUCCAUUUCUGUAACAAAAUAUCAGAGGCUUGUUAUUUUGUUUAAAAAAAAUAGGUUUUAUUAGCUUGCAGUUUGCAGGGGCUCAAGGACAUAGUAUUGGUAUCAGGUCAGCUCUGGUGAGGGCCUUGUGGUUGAUAACAUCACAAUGGUGGGUUCACAUACAAGCGCAAAAACAUAGUGGGGCAGGAAGCCAGAGAGAUUCAGGAAUUAGACUCACUCUUUUAUAACAACCCAACUUGUGUUCAUCAUAUUUCCAUUGUUGUGACAAAACACCUGAGAAAAACAAAGGAGGAAAGAUUUAUUUGGGUUCAUAGUUUCAGAAGUUUCUGUACAUGUUGGCUGGCUCCAUUGCUUCUGAGCCUGAGGUAAGGCAGAUUAUCAUGAAGGUGGGAGCAUAUGGAAGAGAAGGCUGCUCACUUCAAAGCAGUCAGGAAACAAAAGAGAGGGGAAGUGGCCAGAAACAAGAUAUACACCUCCAGGGCAUGUUCCCCAUGACUUGAUUCCUCCAAUGAGGCCCCAUCUCCUACAGUUUUCAUACCUCCCAAUAGCCCAUUAAUUAUGAACUUGUUGAUGGAUUAAUGCUAUGAUGAUGUUAGGACACUCGUGAUCCAGUCACUACCCCAAAACACCACCUCUGAACAUUGCUGCAUUGGGGACAAAACCUUCAACACAUGAGCCUUUGGGUGAUAUUCCAGACUCAAACCAUAACACCACUCUUUCAGGAAAUAACUCAUUCUAUAGGAUCAGCAUUAAUCCUUUCUGAGGGCAGUGCCCCCAGUGACUUUGCCUUCCACUAAGCUCUGUCUCUUAAAAGUUCCAUCACCUCUCACAUGGUCACACUAGGGACCCAACUUCUAACACAAAAAUCCCUAGGCGAUAUAUUCAAACCAUAUCCAAACUGUAACAAAUGGUUAUCUUGCUCCCUUAUUCUCAGAUGGUGAAAAUCAACCUGUGGAAAACUGAUGGUAUUAGGAGGAGUACCUGCUGCUUAUCCUGAUUUAUUAAUGGUUUUCUUUUCUCAUUCUGAAACCAUUCUAUCAAAUGGCAACAAACUGUUCCUGUCCACCCCCAUGAAGUAAUCAUGCACCAUGUGAAUAACACACAAUAGAAUUACUUUUUCACUUAUAAAACAUGACCAGUUAUGACUCAUUCUGACAUUUCAAAGCCUAAAAAUUCUGGGGGCACUACCAAAGGCAUUUGUCUUCCUUCUAGCCAAUGAUUCAUACAUUUUCUUCAGAUUCUGUUAACCCUUGUCAUUCUUUCUCCCCAAACCUAUAAGUACAUUAACUAUAAGAUAAGUGUGUAUUUUCAUUACAGAUAUAAAACUGAAUGUGCAGGGCACAUAACUCGGUACCUAGCAUUAAUUGCAUAUUGGAUCCACUAAGUAGAAAACUAAAUACCCAGCUCUCUGCCUUCCCUCAAAACAUCAUAGCAGGCUUGCUAAAGAUCAAACUCAGGGCCCUGUGCAAUCUAGGCAAGUGCACUACCUCUGAGUUACUCCCCCAGGCCCAGUCUUUCCUUUUUCAUCACAGAAGAAAAUCUUUCACAGACCCUCAAAUUCUCCAGCAUCAUUAGCCCAAACUGAAUUAUAUGAGUACUCCUAAGCUGACCAUGGACAAGAUGGGCUUCGACCAAUCAUAAUUGCAACCCUUAUUGCGAAGCAGUGCCAGGCUGCCCUGGGCAGGUUGCAGCCCCAGACUGGCUUAUCUGAACAAAGAAAGGAGCAGAAAAUGAGUAUUUAUCACAGAGGCAGAAAAGCAUGGUCUGAAGCCAGAAAGAAGAAUAAAGCAUAUAGAGAACUGAGAAAAGAAACUUUCUAGAUUCCAGUUCCCUUUCCAGUCUAUCUCAGAACUCCAGCCACUUCCCUGCUCUGUGGUUUCCUGAGGCUGCCUUAACAAAAUGCCACAAACUAGGUGGCUUAAACCAACAAAAGCACACAAUAAAUAUUACUUAGCCUUAAAUGAGAAUGAAAUUAUGGCACUUGCUGUUAAAUGGAUAGAACUGGAGAAUGUUAUGCUAAGCGAAAUAAGCCAACCCCAAAGAACCGAAGGCUAAAUGUUUUCUCUGAUAUGUGGACGCUAAUUCACAAUAAGGGUGGGGGAGAAUACAGGUCCUUAUUAAUAGACCUUAUUACUCUAUGUGUAUAUAUGAUUACAUGACCUGUGUAACUCUACAUCAUGUACAGACAAAUGAGAAGUUAUGCUCCAUUUAUGUAUGAUGUGUCAAAAUAAUUCUACUGUCAUGUAUAACUAAUUAAAACAAAUUUAAAAAUUCUAAACUGUUGGAAGCUGCCCUGGAUGCAGACGCCUUUAAGUUCUGAUAUGCCGGGUUCUGAACAAUUCUUGCAUCCAGUCUGGCAGGGCAGUGCCAGGACGAAGUAACUUGGGUGUUUCUCUAGCUCGGAUAACAAGGCAUGGCUCCAGGUAUAAGCGUCACCCGCUGGGGUUGAGUUACACUCACCUGUUCCCUUGUAAUCCUACCCCUUUGCCAUUUUGGGGCUAGAAUGUUCCAUGGAACCUCCCCUUAUGUGUCCCCUAUAUAAGAAUAAAGAAUUCCAGUGGCUCUCUCUUUCUCUUUCCACGGACCCUUAAGGUCGGAGAGCCGUCACAGAUUUUGAAAAGGUAUUUCUGUGUGUUGCGUGCUUUCUUUGUCAUUUUCUUAAGUUAUUGGAAUAGUCAAAUUUUGUGAACCCAUCAUUAGGUCGCCAGCUAGGAUAGAUGGUGAUACUAAAAAAUCAACAAAAGCAUAUUGUCCCAUGGUGCUGGAGGAACUCAAGGUGUGGGUAGGACUAUGCUUUUGCUGAAAACUUCAGAGAAAAUCCUGUGUUGGCUCCUCCUGGCUUCUAGUGGUUUGCCACCAAUCCUUGACUCCCAAAGACAACACUGCAACCUUUGCUUCUGUCCUGGUAUGGUCUUCUUCCCUGUGUGUCUGUGUCUCUUCUUAGAAGGACACCAGGCAUUUUGGGUAAAGGGCACAUCCUGCUCAGCAUGACAUCAUCUUCAAUGAUUACAUAUGCAAUGACUCUAUUUCCAAGUAGGUCACGUUCUGAGAUAAGGGGGCUAGAAAAAUCAUCAUAUCUUUAAGAAGAUACCAUUCAACCUUUAAUGGGUUGUAUGAGACACCCUUGUAUCAUAAAUGGUCUCUUGCAUUACCUAUAUCUAGAAAUUUUCUAUAGUUUAUAACAAAAGAGUCCUUGUAAUGUAGAAACCAAUGUCAUACCAUACCUUCCAGGGUCUCUUCUCCUCUUUACCUAAUCUCCUGGUCUUUAGAAGCAACUUCAUGUUCACCAAACAGGGUGAUCUGUGAUUACCUUAGAUCAGUUUAAUCUCCUUCUAACCAAAGAAAGUCCCUUUUCAGAAGGUUUUGCAUGAGUUUGAAGGGUUCAUUUGCAACAUUAAAGAGCCAGCAUGAGAAGUUUCCUAAAAUUAAAGAACAGUCUUCUUUUAAACUUGUAGUUUUUUCCAGACAGAAGAAAAUGCACGGUUGCUUUUUUUUAACUUUUUAAAAAUUUGUUCUUAUCAGUUUUACAUGAUAGUAAAAUGUAUUUUGACAUAUGUAUAUGGAGUAUAGUUUUGUGCUCAUUCUUCUGGUUGUACAUAAUGUAGAAUUGCAUUGGUCAAAAUGCAGGGGCUUUGUUGUUGCUGUUUUAAUUUGUGAAAACAGAGCUUAUUUUAUUUUAUAUUUUUAGUUUUGGUACUAGGGAUUGAACCCAGGGGCUCCUUACUACUAAUCUCCACCCUCAGCCCCUUUUAUUUUUUAUUUUGAAACGGAUCUGACUAAGUUGUUUAGGGCCUUGCUAAAUUUCCCAGGUGGGCCCUGAAGUUAUUAGGAUCCUCCUGCUUUGGCCUCCCUAGUCGCUAGGAAUACAGGUAUACACCAUUAUACCUAGCUGAAAAUGUAGCUUUUGAAUCUCUCUUUUUUGUUCAAUCUGCAUCAACUGCACCAGCUUGCUUGAGCUUGCUUCCAGUUCAGGUCCCAACUAGAUUACCAAGUCUUACUCUUUGAAACCUGUCCCAAUUGUACAUUCUAAUAUAACUCAGUGCACCUCCAAAUAUUGCAGCUUUUCAGAUCUGGGGUAACCUCCCUUUUCUGGUAUCUGUGAUCUGCUACAUCCCAGUCCUCACCCUGACUGGCCUGGAAUCAUUUUUGUCUUUGCUGUUGGGAUGACAACUACAGCAUGAUCUUGACUCAUUAAUUAAUUCCAAGCUUGGAGAAUUUGUGUGAAUUGAUGGAAAUUCAUUAAUUGAUCUUGUUCAGUGCCACUUAUUUGUUUUUAAUUUUUUUAAAAAUAUAAGUUAUGGACUAGAGCUGUAGCUCAGUAGUAGAGCAUUUGCCUAGCAUGUAUUAGGCACUGGGUUCGAUCCUUAGCACCACAUAAAAAUAAACAAAUAAAAUAAAGACAUUCUGUCUAUCUACAACUACAAAAAGAAUUUUUUUUAAAUACAAGUGAUGCAGGUAGAAAAUCCAAGCAGUGCAAAAAGACCUUAAGUGACAAACCUACAGUAGAUCACAUCUGGAACAGUAAGUAGGGCCUCUCUCUCCCCAUCACCAGACCUGUGUCACCAUGUGCAAGGAAAGAAUCAAAUGAAGAAAAUAAAUAGAGAGGAGAACACAGAUUUAUUCAGGACAAACCUGCAGAGGUGGCCUGGGCUAGGCUAAGACCCAUCCUCGGCUUAUAGCCUGGGGUAGAUAUAGAGGAGUGAGGAAAGGGGGAGUUUUUGCAUCUAGGUCAUUGGCAGGGGAUUGUCACAGAGGGGUCCUUAUGGUGUUACCUUCAUAAGAAAGCAGGUGUUUUUAAGGAUUUUAGUCCCAGAGAACAAUUUCCUUUCUUAUGAUGAUGGAGGGUCGUCUGGAGUUUAGGUCAAGCUAAGUUAGAGAGAUCUUGAGGAAUUCUUAUUCUAAGGUGGAGGAUAUGUUUCAAAAUGACAUUUUGAAACAUAUCAGUGUCAAAUUAUUCUUACCUUUUCUAAACCCUUAUUUAUGCUUACUGUAUUCUCACCUAACCACCAUGAUUCUGCCCCACCACUCUGGCAUUAGUGAUAAUUGUCCAUAGUCACAGCCUCAAAUUGGAGGUGGGUAUAAACAUAAACUAUAACAAAAGAAGUCAACAAAACUCAUAAGAAAAGCAAUACUCUGAAAGCCAGGGAGGUCCUACAUUGUUCUAAAUUGCCUUCCUCUGACUAUACCUUCCUGUGGGGUCAGGAAUCUGCAAGGCCAUAGGGUAUGCUCACCCCAAGUCAUACCUACCCUUCUAGACCACCCUCUGGGUACCUGGGAGCCCAGAUAUUCCACCCCAGAAUGCCCCUGAGCCUGUAUUAGGGGCCUGAGUACCUCCUCUUCCUGGGUCUGUCCUCUAUAUAGCAACCCAUAUAGCUGGUAUGUGUACCCCCAGGGCCCAGGGCACAGGUAGUAGUUUGGAAGAGAAUAGAGGGUAUGGACUGUGCUGGGGGCAUCCUCACAUAUGCCCCAUGUUCCUGGAGAUACAGGACUGCACCAGGGGAGCAGAGGGUAGUGGGAGUAGGCUGCAGAGGAACUAGCUCAGAUUCUUUCAAACUGUGAGAAGGGACUAUCUCUGGGGUUUGUGCCUGUCUUCUUACCUUUUCUAAACCCUUGUUUAUUCUCACUUUAUAAGCACUUGAGAUUUUCAUACAUCAAUAGCCUUAAACUCCACUGAUCUCUAAGGUUUGGGGACAUGAGAUGAAGGCAGAGAGGGGCUGGGCUGGGGCAGAUGUUAGGACUCCUUGGGUUGGAUGGAGUUGGGGGUUGAUGUCUGAACUAGGAUGGGCAUAGAAGUAGGUCUGGUGUUUGGGUCUGAAAAUGAGAUUAGGUCUCAGGCUGAAAUUGUGGAGGUGCUCAUGUUGGGUUGGACUAGGGACUAAGGUUGAAAAUAGACCCUCCACUGAGGCGGAGGCUGGGGUGGGAUUAGGUUGGAGUUGCAGUUGAAAUGAGGUUGACUUUAGAGACAAAUUUAGAGCUGAGGUUGGGGUUUAUGUUUGGGUGAGGGUUUGGUUUCAGGCUGGGCCUGAACUCGAAGCUGAAGUGGAGGCUCAAACUAAGGUGGAGACUGGGAUUGUGCUGGUUUGGGCCUGUUCAGUCCAAUCUGGAAGCCGGUAGAGAGAACGGAGCCUCAGUCUCCUCUAAAGAAUAAUUCCCAUUCUGCGAUCUGUACUCCCAUUUAUUUCCAUCUGAAACACAGUCACCCUCCUCCUACUUGCCCCAAUAUCCUUUCUGCCUCCCCAGCUCACUUAUCUGCAUAAAUCUGGGGAAUAUAAUUGCAGGUUUUCUCAGGCAGCACAGGUACCAAUGUCAGGAAAUUCUAAAAGGAGGGCAAUAGGUGGGGCUGGAUCCUUCCUGUCUUUGUGCGUAAGGACCCAGAAUUCUGAUCAAGAUCUUCUAGUCCCUGACUAUGGACAGUAAAUAGAAAGGGAACUGGAACUCAGAUUGAGGAUGUGUGUAGGUGGUAGUGAGAGAUGAGCCCUGCUUGCUGUCUUCCUCCAGGGUAUCUCUUUCUCCCCCUUUCAGCCUUCCCCACCCCUGUCCUGUCUUCCUCAUUUUUGUCAUUAUAGAGAAAGGUGGUCCAGAAGGGAUCAUAGGUACAGUCUAUUAUUUUUUUCUCUGUCAUAUUCUUUCUUACUUUCUGCCUCUGAAGUUCCCAGAAUCAUUAGAUAAUGUCUCCCGGGUUCAGGAGAACCCAUUUCCCUUCUCUUACAUAGUGCAGACAGACCCAGGCUCUUAGGAUCUGAACAUCUGACCCAGCAUCAUCAGGAGGUCUAACCAUCAGGCUGGCCCACCUCUAACCUUUCCUCUACACAGAAGUAAAAAUCAACCAAAGACUCAAGACCUUGGGGGGAAGGUGGAGAGACAGUGAUGAAGGCUAGGAUUUCCUGGCCACAAUAGGAGGGGAUAAAUUGGGAAAACAAGCACAUUUUUAUUGGUAUCCAAUCUUUGAUGGAGAUUAUGCCAAUCACUUGCCUUACAUAACCAUUUGAUUUCCACAAAUAUCUUGGGAGGCAUUUUAGAUGAUGGACAAAGAAGUCUCCAAGUCAUUGUAUGACUUAUACAAGACCAUAAGACUCAUAAGGGAGAUACCCAGAAGUCUUAUAGUCUGGAUCUUGCAUGGCCCCCAAAGGCCCAUAUGUUGAAAGCUUGGUCCCAAGCCCAUGGCACUAUAUCAGAAAGUGGUGGAACCUUCAGGAGGUGUGGCCUAGUGGAAGGAAGUUAGGUCAUUGGAGUCAGGCCCUUGAAGGGGAUAUUAAGACUCUCUUUUUCAUCUCUCUUUGCUUCUCAGCCAGCAAGAGAUGAGUAGCUUCCUCCUCUACAGAUUCCUACCAUGAUGAACUAUCAUAGACCCAAAGACAACAGGGUAAGUGAUCAUAGACUGAAAACAAAAUAUAUACUUAUUCCUCUGAGGACAAAUUGCUGCUUCCUUCUAGAUGGAUGAGUUCCAAUGUAGUUACCACCAUAGGCAAAUGGCUGAGUAAUGAUGCCAUAACAGGGAUUCAGUGUUGUUCUCAAUCUUGGGUAGGUUGGACACUCAGCUGCAGAAUUAGCUAUGUCAAUCUUGGAGAAGAAAAUCUGUGUUUUGAGCUAAUAUGUAGCCUCUGUCCCUGCUGCCAUGGUAACUCUCCACAUGGGACCAGCACCACAGUGGUUGGAUAAAGUAGAUUGACACUCAGAAAUGAGGUCAUCUGAUCCAACUGAUUAUUGUCUUACCUGACACAGAGCUUUGUGGGCAUAUUCAUGGGAUACAAAUAUCUUCACUCUUUAUGUUCAUAUUGAGAUGUGGGAGAGCCAUUUAUCUCUCCCCCAAGACAACUUGCCAACAAUUUUUCAAUAUUAUUCUUCUCGAGGCUGUUCCUUCACCAGCUAGUGAACUCACUAAACUGCUGCCUAUGAAUAAACUUAGAUCCAUAUUUCAAGCCACAUAGCCUUCUACCCCAAAUGGACAAACAAAUAUGCCAUGUGAAGAUCUUCCUAUUGAGAGGACGUCCUAUCACCAUUGUUUUCUAGGGCAUCCCUAAGUAAGGCUGUACUGCAGCUGCCCUCCACUUGUAUAUAGUUGUUAGCACAGUUUGAACAGCCAUCGUUAAAUCAGGACUGUGCUUCAUAUUCUUCUCCUAACUGAUUAGAUAGAACUCCCUAGAGGUCCUAGAAAUAUGAGCCACCUACCAAUGCAACAGCACCUGCUGGAUUGCCUAUAUGUAUGAAAUAUUUCCAUUUUAAAGGUGAUUGCAACACACGCCCAAUUCUUUUGUUUUAAUUAUUAGCUAAAGCCUAGAUCAGAGUGGGCAUUUUGGGGCUGUAUAGUCAGUUAAAAUUUUAUAGCUAGGCAUUGGAUCUCUUUCAAACCCUAGGAACAAGCUCAGGAACUAAUUUUCAAAUGAAGAAUAGUUGUCAAUAAAAGAGAGUAGGACCUAAUUCCAAAGUUCCACUAUCUGCAAUGUGAAUCUCAUACUUAAAUUUGUCAGAGGCUCAAUGCUCAACUUGUCAUAGAUAUUUCCAAUACCACUGAGUAUGAACAGUUUUAAAGUCUAAAUAGUGUUUUUUAAAAAUUGUACCUUGCAGCUUGGAUCUAAUACAGAGACUUUUCCUGCCCUAGGCCCAUUAUCAAAUUGAAAACCUUAUGUUGAAGCAACAAACUUAGAUUGCUAUACAUUUUUCCAAAAGUCAAAGAUAUUCAAAGCAUAUUGUUCUGCCCUCCUAAUGAUAAAGCAAGGUAUGGCAACUUGCCUCUAACUUUGAAGUAUAUCCUGACAUACCUUACACCACUGGAGUAUUUUCUGGAUUUAUCUCCCCUCCUCUAGAAUGAAUGUGACUUACAAAGACAUUAGAGGGUGCUUAUUAUGUGCCCCAGAAAAGCUAAUACAUCUGGAGCGUUAUUUACAACUCUGUGACAACUUAAGUUUUAUAAUGUGUACAGUCAUUUUCUAAGAUCCAUCUGAUUUUCAUAAUGGCCAAACAGGCAACAUAAUAGGAGAUGUAGCAGAAAGUUAGCAAACAUAAUAUAUUAUUAUGCAAUUUUGUGCAACAUUAAGGUGAUAAAAAUCCCAUGUGCCCUCCAGAUUAUAUCAUGAUAGAGAACAAUAGAGUUGACUGUGCCAUACAUUAUGGUACAGAAUAGUAAAGUUGAUGUAUAUAAAAUAGUGAAGGUGUUCUGCUGUCCUUGUUCAUGAAAGUAAAUUGUUUCUGAUUAUCUUUGUAGAUAGGAAUUUAAAAGAAAGCAUUUGCUAAGUGAAUAGUUGCAUAUCAGUGUCAGUGAAUGUGUUGAAUUGCUUCAGUAAAGACUAUAUCUUGAAUCUUAUUUAUAACUGUAUGACAACUUAAUUAAGUUUUAUAAUGUUCAUAGUCAUUCUCUAAGAUACAUUCAAUUUUUGCAAUGACCAGACAACUUAAUUGGUGGUGUGACAGAAAUCAACCAAUCCUGCAUUUUUCUGAGCCCUAAUACUUUUCAGAUUCCUCCAAUUACAUAGUUUUGUUUUGGGGCUUAAUGUCUUGGUGUUUCUUUUUUUCUUUCUUUCUUUCUUUUUUUUUUUUUUUUUGGUACCAGGGAUUGAACCAAGUGGUGCUUAACCAGUGAGCCACAUCCCCAGCCCUUUUUAAAAUUUUAUUUAGAGAUGGGGUCUUGCAGAGUUGCUUUAUGACCUCACUAAGUUGCUGAGGCUGGCUUUAAAGCCACUAUCCUCAUGCCUCAGCCUCUCGAGCCACGGGGUUUACACUGUGGCAUGCACCACAGUGCCCGGCUUCUUGGUGUUUCUGAUGGCUAUCACUUGGCUCUUCAUCCCACAGUGUGAAGCAGGUUUAAUCAAGUAGUAGUUCUCAUUUCAGCUGUGUUGCUGAAUGUGAUAAGAUUUAUGAAAGCAGAUUUAUGAAACUUCAGUUUUAUUGCAUAUAAUCAUUGGCUUGAAGAAUGCUUUAAUUUCCAUUGUAAUAGGAAAGAGUAUUAGCAAAAUCAGUUGUGGUAGCACAUGCCUGUAAUCCCAUGGCUCAGGAGACUGAGGCAGGAAGAUGAUAUGCCCCUUCAAAGCCAGCCUCAGCAAUUUAGCAAGGCCCUAAGCAAUUUAGUGAGAUCGUGUCUCAAAAUAAAAAAUAAAAAAGGGCUAGGGAUACGGCUCAGUGGUCAAGCACCCCUGGAUCUCAUCUCCAGUACUAAAAAAGAAAGAAAGAAAAAAAGAUCUGACUCAGUUCUCAUUCACAUGACAUAGAAAAUAUUAACUUAGAAUUUUGCCUCAGGGCUACUUAAUUCUCCCAUUUUAUAUUCUAGCAUAGUCCAAAGAGAUCUGGAUUUUUCUGGACAUUCUACAGACACUACACUGAUCUAUGUCAUCAUGCUAAUUGGACAGGAGGACAAGAUGUGUCUGUUGUACUGGAAGCUUCUGUAAAGCACAUGAACUACAGAGAGUGGAGAGGGAUAAACCCUACAAACACCCAGGGACUAACCACUUCAGUUAAAUAUCCCCAUCUAAAGUAAAAGAAAAAUUGCUGCUCUUUGUAUUUUCCUCCAUCACAAAGAAGAAAGUACAGUGCCUGGUAGGUUUUUCUGGGUUCUGGAGGCAACUAGGAAUACACUGUGGUUAAUACACAGGUGACACUGAAGGCUGCCAUCGAUGUAUGGGAUCCGGAGCUAGAACAGACACCGCAGCAAGUCAAGAUGCAAUGCAUUCAGCCUCGCUACUUGAGCCACAGACUCUAGGUUUGGGACAGGUCAUGUGUAAAAUGGAGCUUAUGGCAUUCUCCAUUAGAAAUAUCACAACUCAAACUUCUGGGAUUCUGAAGUGAGGUUAUCCCACCUCAGCAGAGAAUUAUAUGCUCCUUAAGAAAUAUCUCUUGACAUGUUACUGAGACCUGGAAGAGAUGGAAUGCUUGACCACAGGACACCACAUGACCCUGUAUCUGAAACUUCCCAUUAUAAGCUGGGUUCUGUCAGGCCCAGCAGGUCACAAAGUUGGACAAGUCCAGCUAUAGUCCAUUGUCAGACAGAAAUGGAGUUGAGCCUAAGCAGCACCAGAUCAAAGGACACAAAUGAACUACAUGAGCAAGUAGUCCACAUCGCCAUAUCACUACCACAUUUGAACCAGUUCCCCUUCCCUCGUUUGAAGUUGGUGAGGAGCAGGAGGACUCAAGUUUGGCCUAUGGAUGGGUCAGCUUGACACUUGAGUUCAAGUUAAAAAGGGAUGGUUGGGGCUGGGAUUGUGGCUCAGAGGUAGAGUGCUCGCCUAGCACACAUGAGGCACUGGGUUUGAUCCUCAGCACCACAUAAAAUAUGUGUCUACCUAUAACUAAAAAAUAAAUAUUUUUAAAGUGGGGAUGGUAGCUGUAUUACAGCCACAUUAAGGGGAGAUUCUGCAAAAUAGUAGAGAAGGAAAACCUUCCCAGUGGGCAGAGCUAUCAGCUGUGCAUUAGGCUAUUCACUUUGUGUGUAAGAAGUGGCCUGGAGUAAGGAUAUAUAGAAAUCCUUGGUAGUUGCUAAAAGCCUGCUGUCUGGUUGGGGGUCUGGAUGGGAAGGACUUGAAAACCAGAGACAAGGAAAUCUGAGGACAAGGGAUAUAGAAGAAUAUAUUAGAGUACACAAAGCUUAUGAUGGACCAGUGGUCACCAGAAAGCGACAUCAAGGAAGAGGGACUAACAAAAUGUAGACAAAAAUGCCUCAACCAGUUGUUAGCCAGCCUUCUUCAUUGGCCAGCUCAGAACUGUCAGGAUGGGCACAUGAACAGAGGGGCUACUAUGGGCCCAGCAGCAGUACCCCACUUCCCAGGACUGAUCUAGCUACUGCUAUUUUUGAAAGUCCAAUUUCUCAGAAACAGAGACCAUCUACAAGAGUCAUCCAAAAUGGCCCUAGGCCUCAAGAAAAACAACUAGCCACUUCUGAAAGAAAGGAAAACUUUUUUGUGACCUCAGAUUAAGCAAGGAUUUAUUUGAUAUGAUACCAAAAGCAUAAUCCAUAAAAAAAUAAUUGGACUUUAUAAAAAUUAAAGCAUUCACUUUGGAUAAAUUAAUUGUAUAAUCAAGAUCAUGCUUAUAGCAUCACAUUUGAGAGAAUGAUUUUUACUUGAUCUGGUGUGAUAAACCCACUAUGAAGGAUUAAGAAUUGCAUUUUCUGUGCAGAGCCAAUGCCCACAAACCUACUUAGGCCCUGGUUGUUGUAUGACACCACUUAGCUUAGAUUUUCUGAUAAAACUACAGACUUAUAUGCAUUCAUUACUACUUCAUGCUGCAUCUAUAUAGAUGAAUCAAUGUUUCAGAACAAAUUACAGCCUUUUUUUUUUUUUUUUUUGUACUAUGGAUUGAACUCAGGGGCACUUGGCGACUAAGCCACAUCCCCAGCCCAAUUUUGUAUUUUAUUUAGAGACAGGGUCUCACUGAGUUUCUUAGCACCUCACUGUUGCUGAGGCUGGCUUUGAAUUUGUAAUCCUCCUGCCUCAGCCUCCUGAGCUGCUGGGAUUACAGGGGUGCACCACUGUGCCUGGCAAAUUACAGCCAUUCUUAGUGAUCAAGAAUAAUGUUUUCAGAUUAUGUAUGAUUAAAAGGGGGACUUUUAGGGAAAAAAAGUCUAAAACAGAAAUAGGCAAGACAAUAAAUUCAUAUCUUUAAUUACUAUACUAGAAUAAUUUUUAAAAACAACUAAAGUCUAAAAGACUCACUCAAGAAUUCUCUCUUUCCAGCUGGGGUUGUGGCUCAGUAGUGAAGCUCUUGCCUAGCAUGUGUGAGGCACUGGGUUUGAUUCUCACCACUGCAUCAAAAUAAAUAAAAUAAAGGCCUAUUGACAAUGAAAAAAAUUUUUAAAAAAAGAAUUAUAUUUUUUUUACUUACUACUUUAUAUAGAUUUAGUAUAUUUUAAUAAUCUAUAAAAAAGCUGAUAACAAGAGAAAUUAUUCUUAUCCAAUAACAAUGCAAAUGAAUUCUGUCUGAUCAUACAUGUAUGAAGACAUGAAUUGGGUGUCAACCUAUUUAUAAAAAACAGAGAUAUAAAAAUUGUGGUAUAUAUGUAUAAUAAGAAUUGUAAUGCAAAAAAAAGUACACAUAUAAAGACAUGAAUUGGCAUGAACAUACUUUAUAUACAAAGAUAUGAAAAAUUGUGCUCUAUAUGUGU